rnacentral:rRNA from 1 species
UACAGAGGUCUCAAGCGUUGUUCGGAUUCAUUGGGCGUAAAGGGCGCGUAGGCGGUUGGAUAAGUCUUGUGUGAAAUCUUCGGGCUCAACUCGAAGUCUGCACGAGAAACUAUCUGGCUUGAGUGUGGGAGAGGUGAGUGGAAUUCCUGGUGUAGCGGUGAAAUGCGUAGAUAUCAGGAGGAACACCUGUGGCGAAAGCGGCUCACUGGACCACAACUGACGCUGAGGCGCGAAAGCUAGGGGAGCAAACAGG